UCAGUGGUGACAUUAGCGAAGAAUGACAGCAUGUCUCUAACAAAGAUGUGAAAACUGAGGCUUUUCAAAGUCACACAGUUAGCAAAAUGUGGAGCCGGAAUUCAAAUACAGGUUUCCGUGGCUUGAGAUCCCAGCUUUUCACCAUUAAACAGUGUCACCUUCAGAAAUGGCCUUUAUGCCUCCUGGUCUCAACAUAGAGCAGAAAGGACCAUCUGGACACCACAUAUGAGGAAAUCAGACAUCUCUAGGUUGAAUCAUGCCCAAAAGGACAAUUUCUUGUCAGAUAAGCUGCUGUGUACUAAGUCUGAUAACUAACAAAAUUGCUAUAUGGUAAUUUUAACUGGAAAUUGUCCACUUUUAUCCUCCGGUUUUCUCUCUUAUUCCAUUGGUAACCACCCUGGGAGUUCUAAUACCAUGUCCAUGUACAAGUGCUUAAAUCAACCCUCAGGUUGUGACAGUCAAGCUACAGUGGCUGUGAAAUAAUCUGCACAGCAGAGUAUGCUAUGUCAUUGGCUCAAUCAGCAUAAUGCAGCAUAAUAGAAUAGAAGCACACAAUUAUAUAAUGCCAUAAUUUGAUUUCUCUCUAAUUUCUGGACACAUCACAAAAUAAUCAAGGCAGUGAAAUGAAGUGUAAAGAAUAAUGGCUGAGUUUGGAGUCACAUCACUGCCACUUGCUAGCCUGUGUGACCUUAAACAAAUAAAAAACUCUUUCUUGA
rnacentral:lncRNA from 10 species